AGAGUUUGAUCAUGGCUCAGAUUGAACGCUGGCGGCAGGCCUAACACAUGCAAGUCGAACGGUAACAGGAAGCAGCUUGCUGCUUCGCUGACGAGUGGCGGACGGGUGAGUAAUGUCUGGGAAACUGCCUGAUGGAGGGGGAUAACUACUGGAAACGGUAGCUAAUACCGCAUAACGUCGCAAGACCAAAGAGGGGGACCUUCGGGCCUCUUGCCAUCGGAUGUGCCCAGAUGGGAUUAGCUUGUUGGUGGGGUAACGGCUCACCAAGGCGACGAUCCCUAGCUGGUCUGAGAGGAUGACCAGCCACACUGGAACUGAGACACGGUCCAGACUCCUACGGGAGGCAGCAGUGGGGAAUAUUGCACAAUGGGCGCAAGCCUGAUGCAGCCAUGCCGCGUGUAUGAAGAAGGCCUUCGGGUUGUAAAGUACUUUCAGCGGGGAGGAAGGGAGUAAAGUUAAUACCUUUGCUCAUUGACGUUACCCGCAGAAGAAGCACCGGCUAACUCCGUGCCAGCAGCCGCGGUAAUACGGAGGGUGCAAGCGUUAAUCGGAAUUACUGGGCGUAAAGCGCACGCAGGCGGUUUGUUAAGUCAGAUGUGAAAUCCCCGGGCUCAACCUGGGAACUGCAUCUGAUACUGGCAAGCUUGAGUCUCGUAGAGGGGGGGAGAAUUCCAGGUGUAGCGGUGAAAUGCGUAGAGAUCUGGAGGAAUACCGGUGGCGAAGGCGGCCCCCUGGACGAAGACUGACGCUCAGGUGCGAAAGCGUGGGGAGCAAACAGGAUUAGAUACCCUGGUAGUCCACGCCGUAAACGAUGUCGACUUGGAGGUUGUGCCCUUGAGGCGUGGCUUCCGGAGCUAACGCGUUAAGUCGACCGCCUGGGGAGUACGGCCGCAAGGUUAAAACUCAAAUGAAUUGACGGGGGCCCGCACAAGCGGUGGAGCAUGUGGUUUAAUUCGAUGCAACGCGAAGAACCUUACCUGGUCUUGACAUCCACGGAAGUUUUCAGAGAUGAGAAUGUGCCUUCGGGAACCGUGAGACAGGUGCUGCAUGGCUGUCGUCAGCUCGUGUUGUGAAAUGUUGGGUUAAGUCCCGCAACGAGCGCAACCCUUAUCCUUUGUUGCCAGCGGUCCGGCCGGGAACUCAAAGGAGACUGCCAGUGAUAAACUGGAGGAAGGUGGGGAUGACGUCAAGUCAUCAUGGCCCUUACGACCAGGGCUACACACGUGCUACAAUGGCGCAUACAAAGAGAAGCGACCUCGCGAGAGCAAGCGGACCUCAUAAAGUGCGUCGUAGUCCGGAUUGGAGUCUGCAACUCGACUCCAUGAAGUCGGAAUCGCUAGUAAUCGUGGAUCAGAAUGCCACGGUGAAUACGUUCCCGGGUCUUGUACACACCGCCCGUCACACCAUGGGAGUGGGUUGCAAAAGAAGUAGGUAGCUUAACCUUCGGGAGGGCGCUUACCACUUUGUGAUUCAUGACUGGGGUGAAGUCGUAACAAGGUAACCGUAGGGGAACCUGCGGUUGGAUCACCU
rnacentral:rRNA from 1 species